rnacentral:rRNA from 1 species
UAUAGAGGUCUCAAGCGUUGUUCGGAUUCAUUGGGCGUAAAGGGUGCGUAGGUGGCGCGGUAAGUCGGGUGUGAAAUCUCGGAGCUUAACUCCGAAAUUGCAUUCGAUACUGCCGUGCUCGAGGACUGGAGAGGAGACUGGAAUUCAUGGUGUAGCAGUGAAAUGCGUAGAGAUCAUGAGGAAGACCAGUGGCGAAGGCGGGUCUCUGGACAGUUCCUGACACUGAGGCACGAAGGCCAGGGGAGCAAACGGG